AGCGAACAGACGAGGAGCUUGCUCCUCUGACGUUAGCGGCGGACGGGUGAGUAACACGUGGAUAACCUACCUAUAAGACUGGGAUAACUUCGGGAAACCGGAGCUAAUACCGGAUAAUAUAUUGAACCGCAUGGUUCAAUAGUGAAAGACGGUUUUGCUGUCACUUAUAGAUGGAUCCGCGCCGCAUUAGCUAGUUGGUAAGGUAACGGCUUACCAAGGCAACGAUGCGUAGCCGACCUGAGAGGGUGAUCGGCCACACUGGAACUGAGACACGGUCCAGACUCCUACGGGAGGCAGCAGUAGGGAAUCUUCCGCAAUGGGCGAAAGCCUGACGGAGCAACGCCGCGUGAGUGAUGAAGGUCUUCGGAUCGUAAAACUCUGUUAUUAGGGAAGAACAAAUGUGUAAGUAACUAUGCACGUCUUGACGGUACCUAAUCAGAAAGCCACGGCUAACUACGUGCCAGCAGCCGCGGUAAUACGUAAGUGGCAAGCGUUAUCCGGAAUUAUUGGGCGUAAAGCGCGCGUAGGCGGUUUUUUAAGUCUGAUGU
rnacentral:rRNA from 1 species